GACCAGUGCCAAGGUAUAAAAUCUGCUCUGUAAACUUACGACGAAGUGGAGAAAUGUGUGCAUAAGCUGUUUAUUUGGUGAUUUCAACGUAUAUGGCAGCCCUCUUUCCAAUAAUAUUCGCUUUUCGCAGUUCGCACAGAAUAACACCAACUGAUAUAAUAGUUCAAAUGCAAUGAUAAGUUACCUCUUGAAUUACAUCUCAGAAACUGUGUUGGAAAUGGAAAUGCUGACCCAUUCCAUAAGAUUACCGUUUUACAUCGUUGUAUAAAACAUUUUGAUCGCAUGUAAGGAAUUAUUUCUCAUCCCAGAGAUA